UCUCCGUUGGUGAACCAGCGGAGGGAUCAUUACAGAGUUUUUACUUCCCAACCCCCUGUGAACUUACCAUUGUUGCCUCGGCGGAGCCUACCCUGUAGCUACCCUGUAGGGUGGUUACCCUGUAGCGCCCCGCCGGUGGAUUUUCAAACUCUUGUUAUUUUUAGUAAUCUGAGCGUCUUAUUUUAAAUAAGACAAAACUUUCAACAACGGAUCUCUUGGUUCUGGCAUCGAUGAAGAACGCAGC
rnacentral:misc_RNA from 1 species